rnacentral:lncRNA from 1 species
GACGCAGCUUUGGAAGGCCCCCAGCUCUGAGGGGUGGCGCUGGCCUCCUCGAUGCUCCUGGCCUCUGCUGGCCUCCUCCUGGGCCUCCUCUGGUGCUGUUGCUCUCCCAGCUGGCUGGCCUGGCAACCUGGUGCCCGUGGCCUCUGCCUCCACUGCAGCACAGCCUGUACCACGUGCUACCCAUGUCCCAGCCAGGUCUCCCCAGGGGGCUGCAGCUCCACUGAGUGAAGCCCUCAUCAAAGACUCAGGAGGCCCCUGGCGGGGAUAGCACCGUUUAUUAAGAAAAAUCAAGACAAAGACCACAGGAGGGUCCCUUCUAGGACACAGAGGCCAGGCGUCCCAACCCCACAGUCUGGGGGCCACUGGCAGGAUGGCACUUGAGCUGGAUCUUCAGGCUCCUGCAGAUGGGGCAGGGUGGUCAUAUCCCCCUCCUCUCUCUCUCAGUCGUGAGUCCUGCCUUCCCCCACCUAAGGCACUAGCUCUUCCUGAGCACCAGCGGCAUCCGUCCGUCCGUUGUCUGUUGGAGGAGUCCCUGGGCCUUCACUUCCAGAUGGGUGGGGAUGUGGCCUGGGGUGGGCGGGGCCCGGUGGGCGGGGCCCUAUCAGUGCUGGGCUCUGCCUGUAGCAGCUCCUGGUAAGAGUUGGGGUGGGCCUUCCCUUACAGCCCCUGAGGGAGGGACCCCAGGCUGUGUGCUGGCAGGAGGGGGUGGGAAUGCAGGCCAGGAGGACGUGGUAGGAGGGGGAGUCUGCCAGAGGAGGUGCCAGGGGCUGGGUGGAGGUGGGUGGGGGUGCUGAAAAACGAGCUGGUGGGGAUGGGGACCGCCUGCCCAGGGGUGAGCUGCCUUUUGCUCCACAGCCGGCACUAAAGACAAUUCCCAAUCCUGAGUGGGUGGCAGAGACUCCUGCGAUGCCCGUCUCAGGUAGCUGUGGGGCACCAGCCCACAAGCCGAGGUUGGCUCUCCUAGGAGUGAGAACUGCCCAAGGGCUGCAGAAACAGGCCACCCAGCUCUAUCUGGGGGCUCCAUCGGUGGGUAGGGGGACAGUGGGGGCAGUUCUGGGCCCACCCAGCCACUGUUCCUGACCCCAAGUCCUGGUGACUUUCUGAGGUGCCCACUCCCAUCCAACCUGCCUUGCUGGCCAGCCUUGUGGCUUUGCCCAGCUGUGUGUGUGAGGGUGGCAUGCCCACCUCCAGUCCAGCCCAGGGCGGUAGCAGCAAAGCGUGGCAUCGCCUCGGUUUCUUACAAAAAUUCAUAAUAAUAUUAAUAAUAAUAUACUCGACAUUGUCGGGCUGGGGCGUGGCCCGGGAGUCCGUGUGGGGCAGGCAGGUGCCUACGAGGGGCAGGGGCGUGUGUUGGC